CACCAGACAGCUCAAUUGGUAGAGCACCUGGCUAGAGAUUCAGGGGGCCCGGGUUCGAGUCCCGGUCUGGUCC
rnacentral:tRNA from 1 species